rnacentral:misc_RNA from 1 species
UUAUUGAAGUUCAUGAUAUUUAUUCUUGUUCAUCGAAUACAUCACAUAACCGUACAAUCUAGAUAGGGGAUUCUAAAUUAUUAAGAGAAACAUUUCUCACACAUAUUAAUUAAACUUUUAAACUUGAAAGUGCCUAUGUUUUUGUUUUUCAAGUAGCCAUGGUCCUUAGACGUCUCUUGGGUAUGACAUUCAAAGGCACAAACUUUCUCACUGUCAUCCCAAUGUUUUCUCUCAUAUCUAAGGUUUCUGGAAUUGAACCUUUGACAAGCUCCCAGUCAAAACAUUGAAUUAAAGAUGCAAGACCAAGGAGAACUAUUCGUUGAGCCAAUACCAUACCUACACAAAUCCGUCUCCCUGAUCCAAAUGGAAUUAGCUCAAAAUUUUGCCCUUUGUAGUCAAUGCUUGAACCAAGAAAUCUCUCAGGCUUGAAGGACAAUGGAUCUUCCCAAGAAUCUGGAUCUCUUCCUAUUGCCCAUACAUUCACAAGAACUUGAGUAUCUUUGGGUAUGUGGUACCCCCAUGAAAUCUGUAUCUUGUAUUGUAUUUCUCGGAACGAGUAAAGGAACCGGAGGACGGAGCCGAAGUGUUUCCUUCAAAACAGCUUGCAAAUAUGGCAGCUUCUCUAUGUCAAUCUCUUCAACAUUUCUAUUUACUCCAACAACUUCAUUGAGUUCUUCUUUAACCUUUCUCAUGGCUUCAGGUUUGCGAAGUAACUCUGCCAUGGUCCAUUCUACUACUGUGCUUGUACUGUCUGACCCAGUCAUAAACAUUUCCAUUAUGAUUAUGAUGAUUUUUUCAUAUGGGAUCUUCUCUUGCCAAUCUUUUCCGUCACCUUCAAAUUCCAACAAUGUGUCUAGGAAGUCCUUAGCCUUCUUCUCAUUCGGUUUGUGCUUCUCAAUCCUCUCUUUCACAAACCCUUCAAUAAUCUCUAUCGCUCGUCCCAGUUCUUUCAACAUGUUCUUCUUUAGUCCUUGUGGAUCUAACCAUUUCAAGAAAGGUAGAAAGUCUGCUACAUUUGGCUUCCCUGCCCACACUGAAGUCUUUCCUAUGGCUUGAAAGAAUUCAUACCCUUCUUUACUUUGUGAAUGCAAAAGGUCUCGUGACAGCAUGAGGUUCCCAAUUAUGUUAAAUAACAUUGUGGAGAGAUAGUGACGUAAAUUCACUGCGACUGAUUCUCCCCUUGCACCUCCAGCUGUCGCAUCAUCUUCAAUACUCCUUAUCAUUUGAUCAAUGCAUUUUCGCCGUAUGGAGGCUGUCUCAUUGAUUCGCUUAUUGGUCAUCAUUUCCAUAGAGCAAAGACGCCUAAGCAUGCGCCAGUACGGGCUAAACUGGCCGACUGCAAGUGACCCAUCCCUGUAGUUAUGACUCGUUAACACAUCAAGACACUUACGAUCACAGAAGUUGGCGUCGUGAUUCUUGAACAGCUCUGCCGCAGCCUUGGCCGACUGUAUCACCACCGUUUCCAUGGAUCCUAGUCUUAACCGGAGCACAGGUCCAUACUUCAACUUAAGCUCUUGCAGAGUUUGAUGGGGCACGGUUCCAAGAUCGAAAAUAUUGCCCAAAAGUGGCCAUCCUGGAGGCCCUGGAGGCAGGUUCUUGGUUCCCUUUCCCCACUGUUUUCCAUUUAGGCACAGAACCAGAGCUAGUGAUAAGAAAAGAGUUGAGCAAACAAGGACACUGUACAUGUAAUCCAUUCCUCUCCUGUGUUUUGAGACGGCUACUGCCAGCAGCUGCUUUUUACAAGAUA